UUUCAUUCUACAUCUCACUUUUUUUCUUUUUUUAUGUUUUCCUAAAGUACCCUCUUCUCUUUUUAAUAUUUUCCUACACAACACCCCUCAUUAAAUGAGGGUUGUGUGGUCAGUUAAUACCUUGACGCACUACACACACCAACGUUUUCCCAAUAUAUAAGAGGACCUCUCGUCUUUCAUCAUCACAACAUAGCCGCUGCAUCUAAACCUACUCGGUCUCACCACCCUCCGUUUUUCAAACUCUCCAUCCUUUUCACUCAUUAAUAAACCAUGAUAGGUCCCUUUGGUCCACCAUGAACAUCAAGCAGAAGAAUUGAACUAUCUCGCAGCUGGCCAUAACCAUGAACAAGCCUAGAGCCUUCAUGCAUGGCAAAAUACUAGUUAACAGUUACAUACACAAGAAGUGUAUAUUAGACCACUGUAAAUCAGCUUACUAAACAUAUAUAUCUCUGGCAAUCAUUCACAUGGAAAUCUAAUAAUCACUUCCUUGAAUGUAACUGUUAAUGCUUGUGAUGAUGCCAGAAACAAAAGAGAUGCUGACAAGCAGUCAACAGCACGUAAUGUCGAUUCUAGGUAUCUAUGCUUUAUUAUAUAUUUUUAAUUUUUUCUUCUUUUGGUUUUACUGUGAAUUAUUGAAAUGAAAAAAUAUAUAUAUAAAGUAGAUGGUGCUACGUCAGGAUUACCUUUGAGAUACCUAGAAACUCUCUCCAAAGGACACCUCCGUCAAGUAGUAGUGAUGGAUUCAGCACAAGAGUCAGUGAGGAUAAUUUAUUUUUAUAAAAUAAUUAUUAUUAUUAUUAUCAUACAUAUGAAAAGGAAACGUGAAACAUAAUCAAUUGUACAAUAAAAUAAUUGCCGCUAAAAUCUUUAAUGGUAUUUCAUAUUGCCGCUAAAAGAAAAAACAAUUGCCACCGUAUGUCAUUGGAGUAGUGUGUUUGAUAAAAUUUAAAAGACCCAAAGAACAAAAUUUGACAAAAGGUUGAAAAAAAUGAGGGACAAAAGGAUAAAAACACUGGAAAUGAACUUGUAUUUUUUUUCCUGAAAUCAAUUAUAUGACCCAUUAGCAUGCUAUUAGUAACAAACCAUGGUAAAUAUAACAUACAAUUGGGAAUUAGCUACUAAACAUACAACUAAUCCCUAUGAUCGCUUAAAUAUUUUUAACAAAACUGUAAUAUACCAGGAGCCAUGGCAUGGACAAGCAUCAAGGGACCAAAAAAUAGGCUAAGUACAAAGAAAGUGAGAGAGUUUCUCAUUUCUAUAACCAAAUUAACGAAACCAAGAUUUUAUCUUGUUGGUAUUCUACCUUCUUUUAAUUACCACAUAAUUGAAUCUCUGUUGUCAUUUUGGCAAUGUUAGGUCUCUCUUUCUCACUCUCUGCAGUCUAGAAGGUUUUCACUCUCUUAAAAAAUGGAAAAACCAAAUUGCAAGCUUUGCAAAGUUUCUAUUCUUGUUGGCUUCUCUGUUUUUUUAGUGGAGAAGGAAGUGGCAAGCUAGUAGUACCCUGUUCGCAAGGGCUGACUGGCCUUUUAUCAAAUUUGAAAGCAAAACUAACUCGUAAUGUAGCAAAUGUUUGUAGCCCCUAUUAAAGAUAAAACAAGUAAUCAGUAAUCACUACUCAUAAUGCUAAGUGAUUGGUUCAUAGCACUCUGUUGUUGCAAAAAGCUUCCUCUUAAUUCUACUAUUUGAUUAACAGAAAGAAUCAGAAAAAAAAUUACAAUUAAACUAAAUUAAACAUGACUUAUAAACAGAAGAGAUAUGGCUAAUUUCUUAACAUAACCUCUUAAAUAAUUUCUAGAUCCAUGUAAUAAAAUUGUAGAAUUAAUUUUAAAAUGCUUAUAAGUUUUCCAAAAAUCUAGUGUUUGGGACCCAGCUGGGAACCAAUUUUUCCCCUCCAGUCUAUGAAAGCGAAGCUAAACAAACCGGCCGUAUCAUGGAGUAAUAUAUGUCAAAAUAAAGAAAGAGUUAACAAAAUUAAAUUGAAUGAUGUCAGAAAGAUGUCAUUUGAAUUAUAUAUCUAUUGUAAAAAAAUGGUCCCUCCUGGUUAAAUUAAUACACAAGAGAGACUGAUGGAGAUUGUCUUGUAGAUCUUGAAAAAGCAACUCAAGGCAGAAUUGGAUUGCAUCAGAGACAACAAUUAUGAAAUAAUAAUACUAGACUUGCAUUACACCACAUCUAGUACUAUUUGCUCCUUUUCUUUCUUCAAAUGAUUUCCAAUUCCCAACUAUAACCUUGACUUCUUCAAUUGGGGGCUGGGGGCCAACGUAACUAAUAAUGUGAGAAUAUAUCUUUCAAAAGCAGAACAGUCUAUAUUAAUUAGCGUGGA
rnacentral:lncRNA from 1 species